UAUUGCAGUAUAGUAUCUCGUCGAAGGGAUGCGAACCUGGAUUUGUUUGCAAUUCUUGUUGCAGGCGCUGGGCAUAGUUUACAAUCUCUCCGCGAACAGCAUAUUCGCAUUUCACAACCUUGGGGUUGAUGUUGUCAACCGCGACGGGCUCGGUCGCGGCGGAGGACAUGGCGGCUGCGGCGGAGGAAAGCGACGACAGGAAGGGGGAGGUAGCGGCGGAUCGAGAGGAGACGACUAGCUGCUUGGCUCUUUGAGCGACG
rnacentral:misc_RNA from 1 species